rnacentral:rRNA from 1 species
UACGGAGGAUGCAAGCGUUAUCCGGAAUUAUUGGGCGUAAAGCGUCCGCAGGUGGCCUAUCAAGUCUGCUGUCAAAGACCGGGGCUUAACCCCAGAAAGGCAGUGGAAACUGAAAGGCUAGAGGAUGGUAGGGGCAGAGGGAAUUCCCAGUGUAGCGGUGAAAUGCGUAGAGAUUGGGAAGAACACCGGUGGCGAAAGCGCUCUGCUGGGCCAUAACUGACACUGAGGGACGAAAGCUAGGGGAGCGAAUGGG